UGGGGAAUAUUGGACAAUGGGCGCAAGCCUGAUCCAGCCAUGCCGCGUGAGUGAUGAAGGCCUUAGGGUUGUAAAGCUCUUUCGCCAGGGACGAUAAUGACGGUACCUGGAUAAGAAGCCCCGGCUAACUUCGUGCCAGCAGCCGCGGUAAUACGAAGGAGGCUAGCGUUGUUCGGAAUCACUGGGCGUAAAGCGCAUGCAGGCGGACUGAUAAGUCAGGGGUGAAAGCCCGAGGCUCAACCUCGGAACUGCCUUUGAUACUGUCAGUCUUGAGUCCGGGAGAGGUAAGUGGAACUGCGAGUGUAGAGGUGAAAUUCGUAGAUAUUCGCAAGAACACCAGUGGCGAAGGCGGCUCACUGGCCCGGUACUGACGCUGAGAUGCGAAAGCGUGGGGAGCAAACA
rnacentral:rRNA from 1 species